rnacentral:rRNA from 1 species
GAUGAACGCUGGCGGCGUGCCUAAUACAUGCAAGUCGAGCGAACGGACGAGAAGCUUGCUUCUCUGAUGUUAGCGGCGGACGGGUGAGUAACACGUGGAUAACCUACCUAUAAGACUGGGAUAACUUCGGGAAACCGGAGCUAAUACCGGAUGAUAUUUUGAACCGCAUGGUUCAAAAGUGAAAGACGGUCUUGCUGUCACUUAUAGAUGGAUCCGCGCUGCAUUAGAUAGUCGGUAAGGUAACGGCUUACCAAGGCAGCUAUGUAUAGCCGACCUGAGAGGCUGAUCCGCCAGACUGGAACUGAGACACGGUACAGACUCCUACAUGAGGCAGCAGUAUGUAAUCAUCCGGAAUGGGCGCAAGCCUGACAGAGCAACGCCGCGUGAGUAAAGAAGGUAUUCGGAUCGUAGUACUCUGUUAUUAGGGAAGACCAUAUGUGUAAGUAACUGUGCACAGCUUAACGGUACCUAAUUAGAAAGCCACGGCGAACUACGUG